GUGUGUGUGUGUGUGCACGCGUGUGUGUAUACAUACGCACGCACACACACACACACACACACACACACACACACACCC
rnacentral:miRNA from 1 species